AUUGAACGCUGGCGGCAGGCCUAACACAUGCAAGUCGAGCGGAUGAGAGGAGCUUGCUUCUCGAUUCAGCGGCGGACGGGUGAGUAAUGCCUAGGAAUCUGCCUGAUAGUGGGGGACAACGUUUCGAAAGGAACGCUAAUACCGCAUACGUCCUACGGGAGAAAGCAGGGGACCUUCGGGCCUUGCGCUAUCAGAUGAGCCUAGGUCGGAUUAGCUAGUUGGUGAGGUAAUGGCUCACCAAGGCGACGAUCUGUAACUGGUCUGAGAGGAUGAUCAGUCACACUGGAAAUGAGACACGGUCCAGACUCCUAGGGGAGGCAGCAGUGGGGAAUAUUGGACAAUGGGCGAAAGCCUGAUCCAGCCAUGCCGCGUGUGUGAAGAAGGUCUUCGGAUUGUAAAGCACUUUAAGUUGGGAGGAAGGGUUGUAGAUUAAUACUCUGCAAUUUUGACGUUACCGACAGAAUAAGCACCGGCUAACUCUGUGCCAGCCGCCGCCGUAACAC
rnacentral:rRNA from 1 species